rnacentral:rRNA from 1 species
CCCGAAAGCUAUUUAGGUAGCGCCUCGUGAAUGAUUACUGGGGGUAGAGCACUGUUUCGGCUAGGGGGCUGUCAUGGCUUACCAAACCGAUGCAAACUCCGAAUACCGGCUAAUUGAAUCACGGGAGACACACGGCGGGUGCUAACGUCCGUCGUGGAGAGGGAAACAACCCAGACCGCCAGCUAAGGUCCCCAAGUACUAGUUAAGUGGGAAACGAUGUGGGAAGGCAUAGACAGCCAGGAGGUUGGCUUAGAAGCAGCCACCCUUUAAAGAAAGCGUAAUAGCUCACUGGUCGAGUCGGCCUGCGCGGAAGAUGUAACGGGGCUAAAACUAGUCACCGAAGCUGCGGAUGUGCGCGAAGGCGCACGUGGUAGGGGAGCGUUCUGUAGGCUGAUGAAGGUGCAUUGAGAAGUGUGCUGGAGGUAUCAGAAGUGCGAAUGCUGACAUGAGUAACGAUAAUGUGGGUGAAAAGCCCACACGCCGGAAGUCCCAGGUUUCCUGCACGACGUUAAUCGGAGCAGGGUGAGUCGGCCCCUAAGGCGAGGCUGAAGAGCGUAGUCGAUGGGAACCAGGUUAAUAUUCCUGGACUUUUUAUAAGUGGUGAAGUGGGGACGAAGAAGGCUAGGUGAGCCAGGCGUUGGUUGUCCUGGUACUUGCAUGUAGGGGGGAAGACUUGGCAAAUCCGGUUUUCCAUAACUCUGAGGUGCGAAGUGGUUCUGACCUUUUGGUACAGAGAAGUCAUUGAUGCCCGGCUUCCAGGAAAAGCUGCUAGCCAUAACUUAUAGAGAACCGUACCGCAAACCGACACAGGUGGACAGGUAGAGAAUACUAAGGCGCUUGAGAGAACUCGGGUGAAGGAACUAGGCAAAAUGGUACCGUAACUUCGGGAGAAGGUACGCCCUUUCUGGUGAUGGGAUUUACUUUCAGAGCUGGAGAGGGCCGCAGAGACCAGGUGGCUGCGACUGUUUAUUAAAAACACAGCACUCUGCAAAUUCGUAAGAAGACGUAUAGGGUGUGACGCCUGCCCGGUGCCGGAAGGUUAAUUGAUGGGGUUAUCUUCGGAGAAGCUCUUGAUCGAAGCCCCGGUAAACGGCGGCCGUAACUAUAACGGUCCUAAGGUAGCGAAAUUCCUUGUCGGGUAAGUUCCGACCUGCACGAAUGGCGUAACGAUGGCCACACUGUCUCCACCCGAGACUCAGUGAAAUUGAAAUCGCUGUGAAGAUGCAGUGUACCCGCGGCUAGACGGAAAGACCCCGUGAACCUUUACUAUAGUUUUGCACUGGACUUUGAUGAUGACUGUGUAGGAUAGGUGGGAGGCUGUGAAGUGAGGACGCUAGUUCUCAUGGAGCCGCCCUUGAAAUACCACCCUGUUGUUAUUGAGGUUCUAACUUGGUCCAGUAAUCCUGGAUGAGGACAGUGUAUGAUGGGUAGUUUGACUGGGGCGGUCUCCUCCCAAAGAGUAACGGAGGAGCACAAAGGUACCCUCGGUACGGUCGGACAUCGUACCAAGAGUGUAAAGGCAAAAGGGUGCUUGACUGCGAGAGUGACGGCUCGAGCAGGAACGAAAGUUGGUCUUAGUGAUCCGGUGGUUCUGAAUGGAAGGGCCAUCGCUCAACGGAUAAAAGGUACUCCGGGGAUAACAGGCUGAUACCGCCCAAGAGUUCAUAUCGACGGCGGUGUUUGGCACCUCGAUGUCGGCUCAUCACAUCCUGGGGCUGAAGCAGGUCCCAAGGGUAUGGCUGUUCGCCAUUUAAAGUGGUACGCGAGCUGGGUUUAGAACGUCGUGAGACAGUUCGGUCCCUAUCUGCCGUGGGCGUAGGAAAAUUGAGAGGAGCUGCUCCUAGUACGAGAGGACCGGAGUGGACGAACCUCUGGUGCACCGGUUGUCACGCCAGUGGCAUGGCCGGGUAGCUAAGUUCGGACGGGAUAACCGCUGAAAGCAUCUAAGCGGGAAGCCUCCCUCAAGAUGAGUUUUCCCAUGAAGCCCGUUGAAGACUACGACGUUGAUAGGCAAGGUGUGGAAGCGCAGUAAUGCGUGAAGCUAACUUGUACUAAUUGGCUGAUUGUCUUGACCAU